UGGGGAAUAUUGGACAAUGGGCGAAAGCCUGAUCCAGCCAUGCCGCGUGUGUGAAGAAGGUCUUCGGAUUGUAAAGCACUUUAAGUUGGGAGGAAGGGCAUUAACCUAAUACGUUAGUGUUUUGACGUUACCGACAGAAUAAGCACCGGCUAACUCUGUGCCAGCAGCCGCGGUAAUACAGAGGGUGCAAGCGUUAAUCGGAAUUACUGGGCGUAAAGCGCGCGUAGGUGGUUUGUUAAGUUGAAUGUGAAAUCCCCGGGCUCAACCUGGGAACUGCAUCCAAAACUGGCAAGCUAGAGUAUGGUAGAGGGUAGUGGAAUUUCCUGUGUAGCGGUGAAAUGCGUAGAUAUAGGAAGGAACACCAGUGGCGAAGGCGACUACCUGGACUGAUACUGACACUGAGGUGCGAAAGCGUGGGGAGCAAACAGG
rnacentral:rRNA from 1 species